UCCCUGAUGGUCUAGUAGCUAGGAUUCCUGGUUUUCAUCCAGGCUACCCACGUUCAAUUCCUGGGCAGGGAA
rfam:TPA: Bos taurus chromosome 20, whole genome shotgun sequence.